rnacentral:rRNA from 1 species
UACGUAGGGUGCAAGCGUUGUCCGGAAUUAUUGGGCGUAAAGAGCUCGUAGGCGGUUUGUCGCGUCGGCUGUGAAAGCCCGGAGCUCAACUCCGGGUCUGCAGUCGAUACGGGGCAGACUUGAGUGUUGCAGGGGAGACUGGAAUUCCUGGUGUAGCGGUGAAAUGCGCAGAUAUCAGGAGGAACACCGGUGGCGAAGGCGGGUCUCUG